CUUCAGUGAACAUUCAACGCUGUCGGUGAGUUUGGAAUUAAAAUCAAAACCAUCGACCGUUGAUUGUACCCUAUGG
rnacentral:pre_miRNA from 10 species